AGAACCUAUUAAAAGCCUAGGUGUAUACUUUGGACUUAAUAAAAAUGAAUGUGACAAAUUAAAUACUGAAAAAAUUCUAAGAAAGUCUCAAGACACAAUCAAUAGCUGGAACAGAAGAAAUCUCACAAUGAUAGGUAGAAUAACAGUAAUUAAAUCUCUCAUCUUACCAAAUUUAACUUUCUUGGCAUCAGUAACAACCAUUUCCAAAGAAUUUUUAAAUGAAUUUAAAAAAAUGAUUUACAACUUCAUCUGGGGUAAUAAAAAAGAAAAAGUUAAAAGAAUCACCCUAUGUAAAGAUUACUUGGAAGGAGGCCUUAAAAUGAUCAACAUUGAUGAUUUUUUAUCAGCUAUACAAUUAUCCUGGGUCAAACGUUUAACAUCAACACAAUUUGCAAACUGGAAAGUCAUCCCCCUUUUCUUUUUCAAUAAAUUUGGAGAAAACUUUUCUUUAUUUAACAUGAAUCCAGGUAGCAUAAAAGCAAUCCCAAAACUCAGUAAAACAAUCCCUCUUUUCUAUUUAGAAAUAGUCAAAAGUUGGUUUAAGAUGAAAAAUAUCUCUGAAAUAAAAACCAACAGUACAAAUUUUAUUAAUAUAAGACAACAAUACAUAUGGGGCAAUAAACAUAUAAAAUUUCAAAACAAAUGUUUAAUAUUCUCACAUUGGAUAACCAAUGGAAUACUAUUUAUUAAUGAUAUAAUAGAUGAAGCAGGAAAUAUAUCACAAAAGGCAGUAUUAGAUAAAUUGACCCUCAAAUCCAACUGGAUAUCAGAACUAUCUAGAAUAAGAGCUGCAAUACCAAAAAAAUGGCAAAUGAUAAUGAAAUCAGAUAACUCGCGCA
rnacentral:lncRNA from 1 species